GACGUAGGGCGCGAGCGUUGUCCGGAUUUAUUGGGCGUAAAGAGCUCGUAGGCGGCUUGUCGCGUCGUCCGUGAAAACUUGGGGCUCAACCCCAAGCUUGCGGUCGAUACGGGCAGGCUAGAGUUCGGUAGGGGAGACUGGAAUUCCUGGUGUAGCGGUGAAAUGCGCAGAUAUCAGGAGGAACACCGGUGGCGAAGGCGGGUCUCUGGGCCGAUACUGACGCUGGGGAGCGAAAGCGUGGGGAGCGAACAGG
rnacentral:rRNA from 1 species